CGUGUCGUGAGAUGUUGGGUUAAGUCCGUAACGAGCGCAACCCUUGUCCUAGUUACCAGCACGUUAUGGUGGGCGACUCUAAGGAGACCUGCCGGUGCAAACCGGAGGAAGGUGGGGAUGACGUCAAGUCAUCAUGGCCCUUACGGCCUGGGCUACACACGUGCUACAAUGGUCGGUACAAAGGGUUGCCAAGCCGCGAGGUGGAGCUAAUCCCAUAAAACCGAUCGUAGUCCGGAUCGCAGUCUGCAACUCGACUGCGUGAAGUCGGAAUCGCUAGUAAUCGUGAAUCAGAAUGUCACGGUGAAUACGUUCCCGGGCCUU
rnacentral:rRNA from 1 species